AGUGCUGGAGUCCAGUCUCUCUGGACACAAACACCAUUUGUGGAAUGGGAUUUAAAAAUAGCAGCAUGUGGAGAAAUUAGAGGAAGAAAAAACUACCUGGGAGAGAAAAAGAGGUCAAAGGCUGGCGUCUAUAAAUGGAGGAGCUUGAGAGACAAUGAGUGAAUUGAGUCCAAAGGGGACAACACACGUUCUAGAAUUACAAGUGCACCUGUGGACCACGAAGCGGUCAUGCAGCAGAAUCUAAUGGAGCAGUUCACUUACAGCACUUCUUCUCCCGCAGGUCGGAUUUCUUGGCUUCUGCGCAGCCGUUGUCCCUCUGAGAGCUGGACAUGAUGUUGUCUCAGUGGGCAGCUCCUGUAGAGGGAACACAAGGGAAUCGAACGUGUGGUGUUUCUGACUUUGUGUAAACCUGGCAACACGGACCGACUCUGCCACAUCAUCCGACGCAGACACACACGGAGACGCUGAGACAUGUCUUCUAUCAGCAGCUCAUUCAGUGUUUAUAAUGAUUUAUGUAGCUUUUACCUGAUCGCUGGGUGAAUGUGACGAGCACAGCUGGACGGAGACACAUCUGGACACGAGGGGGAUCCGUGGGUCUGCCGCACCGGGAGUUUGCGCGCACCGCAGCGGGCUGAGGAGCCUCUCCGGUCGGCCUGUCCUUGGUCCUCAGUCCCGGCGGCUCCGUCAGCUGGAGCUGGAGGUGUGUCUCCGUGCGUCACAUGUCCCUGCGCGGCCGUAAUGUUCGUAAUAGAUCCGGAGCAGGAUGCGUCAAUGGCAUAGAUCACGUUUAAUAAUUAAAAUUCUGUUAAUAUUUUGUGAGCACAGCAACAAAUCCCAACAUACUUUAUCUUCAAGCACUUUCAAUAAUAAUUUUAAAUAUUA